AGCGAACGCUGGCGGCAGGCCCAACACAUGCAAGUCGAACGGACCCUUCGGGGGUAGUGGCGGACGGGUGAGUAACACGUGGGAACGUGCCUUUAGGUUCGGAAUAGCUCCUGGAAACGGGUGGUAAUGCCGAAUGUGCCCUUCGGGGGAAAGAUUUAUCGCCUUUAGAGCGGCCCGCGUCUGAUUAGCUAGUUGGUGAGGUAAUGGCUCACCAAGGCGACGAUUAGUAGCUGGUCUGAGAGGAUGACCAGCCACAUUGGGACUGAGACACGGCCCAAACUCCUACGGGAGGCAGCAGUGGGGAAUCUUGCGCAAUGGGCGAAAGCCUGACGCAGCCAUGCCGCGUGGAUGAUGGAGGUCUUAGGAUUGUAAAAUCCUUUCACCGGUGAAGAUAAUGACUGUAGCCGGAGAAGAAGCCCCGGCUAACUUCGUGCCAGCCGCCGCCGUAA
rnacentral:rRNA from 1 species